UUAAAAGCAGUGAAAAAGAGGAGUAAGGAAUAUUACAUAUUAAAGAGAAGAAGGUCUAGGCUGAAAACCUUCCAUAUAAAAUAUCCUGAAGGUAGCUUUUGAGUAUCUUUGUUGAAACUAAGUAGGCAAAGACGGCUUUCUUAGUCGUUAUUAUAUAAAGAGCCCAAAAUUAUAAUAUAAAUUUGGGAAAAAAGGUGGUACCGCGAGUCUUCGUCCUUUUG
rnacentral:ncRNA from 1 species